UUGUUAUGUAUGGUUGCUGGGCAGCGCUGGGGCUAUAGACAGGCUGGGUUGUUAUUGUAGGGUUGCUGGGCAGCGCUGGGGCUGUGGCCAGGCUGGGUUGUUUUGUAUGGUUGCUGGGCAGCCGUGGGCUGUGGACAGGCUGGUGUUUCUAUUGUAGGGUUGUGUGGCGCGCUGAGGGCUAAUAGACAGGCUGGGUUGUUGUUGUAGGGUUGCUGUGCAGCGCUGGGGCUGUGGACAGGCUGGGUUGUUAUUGUAGGGUUGCUGGGCAGCGCUGGGCUAUAGACAGGCUGGUUCUGGGUUGUUAUUGUAGGGUUGCUGGCAGCGCUGGGGCUGUGGAC